rnacentral:sRNA from 1 species
GAGUCGGUGUCCCACGGACACGCUUUUUUCUUGGGAACAGGUCUCUCCCGACUGCCUCGUUGCCUGGCACUGGAGCUCUAGUUUGGGAGAGAAGUGGUAGGUAGGAGACGAGGGUGCGAAGGCCUUAGCUCUUCGGUUUGGGGUCUGCCGCCUUCAAGAAGCGGGGGCUUUACGCCUCCGGGCCUUCCCUGCGUACUUUAUGGUACAAUGUUGAUGCCUAAGAAGAACCGGAUUGCCAUUUAUGAACUCCUUUUUAAGGAGGGAGUCAUGGUGGCCAAGAAGGAUGUCCACAUGCCUAAGCACCCGGAGCUGGCAGACAAGAAUGUGCCCAACCUUCAUGUCAUGAAGGCCAUGCAGUCUCUCAAGUCCCGAGGCUACGUGAAGGAACAGUUUGCCUGGAGACAUUUCUACUGGUACCUUACCAAUGAGGGUAUCCAAUAUCUCCGCGAUUACCUUCAUCUGCCCCCGGAGAUUGUGCCUGCCACCCUACGCCGUAGCCGUCCAGAGACUGGCAGGCCUCGGCCUAAAGGUCUGGAGGGUGAGCGACCUGCGAGACUCACAAGAGGGGAAGCUGACAGAGAUACCUACAGACGGAGUGCUGUGCCACCUGGUGCUGACAAGAAAGCUGAGGCUGGGGCUGGGUCAGCAACCGAAUUCCAGUUUAGAGGCGGAUUUGGUCGUGGACGUGGUCAGCCACCUCAGUAAAGUUGGAGAGGAUUCUUUUGCAUUGAAUAAACUUACAGCCAAAAAACCUUAA